rnacentral:rRNA from 1 species
AUGAUGACUCUCGGCAACGGAUAUCUCGGCUCUCGCAUCGAUGAAGAACGUAGCGAAAUGCGAUACCUGGUGUGAAUUGCAGAAUCCCGCGAACCAUCGAGUCUUUGAACGCAAGUUGCGCCCGAGGCCACCAGGCCGAGGGCACGCCUGCCUGGGCGUCACGC